AGUGAACGCUGGCGGUAGGCCUAACACAUGCAAGUCGAACGGCAGCACAGUAAGAGCUUGCUCUUACGGGUGGCGAGUGGCGGACGGGUGAGGAAUACAUCGGAAUCUACUUUUUCGUGGGGGAUAACGUAGGGAAACUUACGCUAAUACCGCAUACGACCUACGGGUGAAAGCAGGGGAUCUUCGGACCUUGCGCGAUUGAAUGAGCCGAUGUCGGAUUAGCUAGUUGGCGGGGUAAAGGCCCACCAAGGCGACGAUCCGUAGCUGGUCUGGGUGGAUGAUCAGCCACACUGGAACUGAGACACGGUCCAGACUCCUACGGGAGGCAGCAGUGGGGAAUAUUGGACAAUGGGCGCAAGCCUGAUCCAGCCAUACCGCGUGGGUGAAGAAGGCCUUCGGGUUGUAAAGCCCUUUUGUUGGGAAAGAAAAGCAGCAGGUUAAUACCCCGCUGUUCUGACGGUACCCAAAGAAUAAGCACCGGCUAACUUCGUG
rnacentral:rRNA from 1 species